rnacentral:tRNA from 1 species
GACGAAGUAGUUUAAGUUAAAAACGGCAGAUUGUGGUUCUGUUAAUAGUUGUAGUCUUUUCGUUG